GUGAACACCUAAACCCAUCAGAACUGUACACUCUAGAGGGGAACUCGACCAAUCUGACGAACACGACGUCUACUUCAUUCUCUGAUGUGGUUACUAGCUAACCAGGGACCGGCCGACCUUUGUGCCCAACACAUAGGUAUGCCCCUGGUUGAGUGCAUGAUUAUAAAAUUGAAUUCCUAGUAAUCACAAAUUCACAUGUCUUUACGUAGAAAAGAAAGGAAAGUAAAACUCAAAAAAUUGGGAAAAGCACAAAGUAGGCUCCAGAUGAUGGAAUUUUUGUGCUUACCUGAGUGAAGAGAUAUGGGCCCGGAAUCCCUGUGGGUCUGGGGAAAACCCAAAGUUGAUCCAUGACCUGGCCAGCUGGCAAAGGCAAAUCAUCCGUGGGGCCUACCCGCCACAUCGGAUAUACCAGACAGAGGAGACAAAAAGGACGCUACGAAAGCAACGUGUGACCAAUGACGUCGCGUGGAUCACGGCAUCCUUGAUCUCCACUAGCGGUUAUCGCAGGAGAGACAAAAAAGACAGUUGACAGUGGCGUCCAGCCAAUCACAUUCCACGGAUCCCUGUUCCUCUGAACCUCCAUUCGCUUUUAUCACAGAUAACACCAAAAGGACAUCCAGAUUGCGCAAAUACACACCCUCCUCUGCCACCACUAAUGGUCAGCAGGGUUUUAAUAGUGACGUUUCGCCCAAUCACUUCUCACCAUUCCGGCUAUAAAUACCACACUCCAACAAGAUGAAAUCCGGCUACAUUUCAGACACCUCUACAAAUUAUUAUACAAGAGCAAUACUUAUUCUCACGCUGAAGGGUGGUUACUAGAAGAACUCCCAGGCCCCAACCCCUCCUUCUCGUAACGAGCCUAACGGUGUUGUUCAGUUUUGUAGAUCAAACCAUUGUUAGAAUUCUUGAAGAUCGGAGCCUUACAAUCUGUUGAACAUCGUCUAAUCUACCACGGUUGGACCGGUGUUUCUUCACUCUGUCUAGUUGCUUCAAGUAUGGUUCCACUAAUUCCUAGAUUAGUCUU
rnacentral:lncRNA from 1 species